rnacentral:rRNA from 1 species
UGGGGAAUAUUGGACAAUGGGGGAAACCCUGAUCCAGCCAUGCCGCGUGAGUGAUGAAGGCCUUAGGGUUGUAAAGCUCUUUUGUCAGGGAAGAUGAUGACGGUACCUGAAGAAUAAGCACCGGCUAACUUCGUGCCAGCAGCCGCGGUAAUACGAAGGGUGCUAGCGUUGUUCGGAAUCACUGGGCGUAAAGCGCGCGUAGGUGGCUUUGAAAGUCAGGGGUGAAAUCCUGGGGCUUAACCCCAGAACUGCCUUUGAAACUACAAAGCUUGAGUGUUGGAGGGGAUAGCGGAAUUGCUAAUGUAGAGGUGAAAUUCGUAGAUAUUAGCAGGAACACCGGUGGCGAAGGCGGCUAUCUGGACAACAACUGACACUGAGGCGCGAAAGUGUGGGGAUCAAA